AUUGAACGCUGGCGGCAUGCUUUACACAUGCAAGUCGAACGGUAACAGGCCUUCGGGCGCUGACGAGUGGCGAACGAGUGAGUAAUGCAUCGGAACGUGCCCAGUCGUGGGGGAUAACGCAGCGAAAGCUGUGCUAAUACCGCAUACGAUCUAUGGAUGAAAGCGGGGGACCGUAAGGCCUCGCGCGAUUGGAGCGGCCGAUGUCAGAUUAGGUAGUUGGUGGGGUAAAGGCUCACCAAGCCAACGAUCUGUAGCUGGUCUGAGAGGACGACCAGCCACACUGGAACUGAGACACGGUCCAGACUCCUACGGGAGGCAGCAGUGGGGAAUUUUGGACAAUGGGCGCAAGCCUGAUCCAGCAAUGCCGCGUGCAGGAAGAAGGCCUUCGGGUUGUAAACUGCUUUUGUACGGAACGAAACGGCGAGCUCUAAUACAGUUUGCUAAUGACGGUACCGUAAGAAUAAGCACCGGCUAACUACGUGCCAGCAGCCGCCGCGGUAA
rnacentral:rRNA from 1 species